ACAAUACUGAGAAUGAGUUAAGCUCCUGAAGUUCAGCAAGGAGUAUGGACGGGUUCUUAAUUAGAGUAAGGAGAACUUUAGCAAACUAGCUGACAAUCUAUAGUAUUCUUUCUAACGGGCUGGAAGGCUGAUGGGAAGGUCUCUGGGUACUCGUUAAUAGCUGGCAGACAGGUGGAAGCACGGUCUGGGCAAAGGAGGCCUCUCUGACACUUCUGCUUAAGUAAAGAAGCUAGAGCAGAAAGAAUCAGAAUUUGGAUUUUAAAAUAAACUUCUACUUAAACUCCAGAGACUGAAACAUUCUCCAUUUGUAUGUGAAGUUUCUCUCUGAAGGCUUCACAUACAGAAGCAAGUAAACUGCAGUCCUGCACUCCGCACAAGACUGAUGGUGUAUGGCUGCUGCUGACUUCAAGGGGACUUUCUUGACCCCAGAGCUUUGUGGGCUAUGAAAAGGCAAAUUUCCUAUAAACUGCUUUUCUGUAUGUCUCCAGAAGGAGAGGGCUUCUCUGAAAUUAAAUGGAAAGGGUGAAAAGAAAUAAAAUGUGCCUUAGUCUCUGUAAAGACCAGAUGAUAACUAUAGUGCUACGUCUCUCCUGUGCAUAACAGGGAAGCAGACAAUAAUAAAAAGUAUAGGUAGAUCAAUCUGAACAUACAUUUCUUCAGCUCUAUAUAAUACAUGAAUCUUGAGAUCAUGCAGUCCUACGUUCAUAAGGGAUCAGCUCAUCAGUCAGUGCAUGUAAAAUAACUGCCAUCAAGCAACAUAUGUUGAAAAGAUUUCUCACAAAGAUUUAGUGUGAGCUGAAGUUUAAAAAAAUAUCUUGGUGCUGAGGAGGAACAAGCUUGAGAAUCCAAGAGGUAUGGAAGACCUGAGGAAAUGUGAACUGUAAGGCAUAUGUGUGUUGUGCUGGUGCUUAUAGCCAUUGCUGCCACCUGCAGACUCUACAUAAGGGCAAAUCUGAAAAGCAUCACUAUUCUGUGCCCCCUGGUUUUCUCUGAAAUGAAGAGAGUGGCCGUGUAGUGUCCUCCAAUGUCUCCCUCAGUCUCGGCAUUUAGAUACCUGUAUGACAGAGGCUCGUUUGGGUGUCCAGCCCACAGCAGAGACACGUCCAGGAAGAGUUUGUACUAGCCAAUAACCUCUCAACAUAACUUCACCUUAUAAACCUGUGGUGUUAUGCUCUGUAAAAGCAAGUGAUCUGCUGGUCUUUCUGUUAUAUUUUUUAUUGCUUAUUUUUCUCACUUCCCUACUAUUCAUGGUUGUGACCUCAUAAGAUUUAUUGAGUUCAAAGAGAAAACUUGAGGGGCUGCAAAGGUGAUACUAGAGAAGGUCCCAAAAACAUGAGCAGUGUUCUCCCCCAUAGUCUGUAUUGAUUUAGUGCCCUGGAAUGGGCUUGCCUCCUGAAAAUGCUGCCUCUUCAAUUACAGAUUAAGUUAAAAGCUUACUACUUGCAAGAACAGAACUGUGUAAGUCUUCCAUGAUUUAAUCUGAAAGAAUGUGUAUACAUGUAUGCCUUUGAUUUCAGAUAUGCAGAUGUAAAGGAGAAGGAUGAUCUUGCACUAGGAAAUGGAGGUGAAGUAGACCUGGUUUCAUUUCCUGCCUGUACCACAGGCUUGCCAUGUAAUCUAAGAUAGGCUACUAAACUCUUUGGUCACUAUUACAGGCCCUGUAAAAUGGGGAUAACAAUAUUUUCUUUUGCUUUAUAUGUCCCUAUUCUUGCCUAGUAAAAUAGUAUGCUUUUAGGACUCACUCACAAAUGCAAACUGGCCAUGAAUGUGAGUGCUUGCACAAGUCUGUCUGCCUGUUCAUCUGGUUGCAGGUAUGUUCAGGUCAGCCAGUGUUCUGGAGUUGCUUCUGACUGGAAUUCAUGAAUAAAAAAGCAAUUUUCGGCACCUAGUAGUUCAAUUAGAGUUAAGGAACAUUUUUCAUGUUCAUUAUCAACAAAUGAGGAGGGUUAUCAUAUGCCUCUAUGACUUAGGUUGUUUGCCUGAAAUAUGAGAUUUGAUUAGAAUCCCUAAUCUAGUUCUGCCAGCUUUCUAGUAUAUUACAGGUGGGGAACCAGUCACAUCAGAAAUUAAGAGUUAUUCCUCUCUCUGCUUCAGUGGAAACUCUAGAGUAAUUAAUAACAUUUUAAUGUAACUAACAAUCAACUGGGAAUUCUUAAGUGCUAUUUUCAUGACAAAUUGUAAAUGCUGUGAACGGCCACACUGCACCUUAUGAUUCUGCUCAGGCAAUUUCCUUAUAGCUAUAGAAUGCUACAAGUCAUUCAGGCAGAGUAAAACAUUUAUGGCCAAUUUUAAUGCACACCUCAUAAAAAUCAUUACUGUGAAUUAAUGAGUAGAAAUACAUUUGAAUCCAGGCCUGAUAACGUGAUAGAGUUGAGGGUAGAAAUGGAGUUAUUUACACUUCUUUGUGAAUAAGCAUCAGAAAUAAAGAUUUUUAUCAUGUAUUCUGACUAAAUCACAUUUGAAUAAAUAUAUACAUUCUUUCC
ensembl:lncRNA